CCUACGGGAGGCAGCAGUGAGGAAUAUUGGUCAAUGGGCGCGAGUCUGAACCAGCCAAGUCGCGUGAGUGAAGACGGCCCUACGGGUUGUAAACCUCUUUUGCCGGGGAGCAACGGGCGCCACGUGUGGCGCCACUGAGAUUACCCGGAGAUAAAGCAUCGGCUAAUACCGGGCCAGCAGCCGCGGUAAUACGGAGGAUGCAAGGGUUUUCCGGUUUUUUUGGGUUUAAGGGGUGCGUAGGCGGAGCGUAAAGUCAGUGGUCAAAUUGAGGGGCUCAACCCCUCACCGCCCUUGAAACUGGCGGUCUUGAGUGGAGGAGAGGGAUGCGGAAUGCGUGGUGUAGCGGUGAAAUGCAUAGAUAUCACGAAGAACCCCGAUUGCGAAGGCAGCAUGCCGGCUUCCGACUGACGCUGAAGCACGAAAGCGUGGGGAUCGAACAGGAUUAGAUACCCGAGUAGUC
rnacentral:rRNA from 1 species